CUCCCCAGCUCCUCACCGGAGGCUCCCGGCGCGCCUUCGGGACUGGGCUCCGACAGACCAGCAGAGCGGUCUCGAUGUUUUUAAAGGAGCCCUCCCCAGGUGGGCUUGAUCUCCCUCCAGCUGUUAUCUCUCAGCGCUCCUUUGUUGAGCGUUGGGACACUCCACCUGUGUGCAGCAGAGAAAACCUGAAGGCUCUUGGGUGCUCCCCAAGCGGGAUCCUCUAGGACUUUCUCAGUAUGGAGCCUGGAAAUCUGAGUUUUAAACAGCACACAGGUGGCCUUCUGGCACACGGAAGUUUGAGAAGCACUGUUGAGCCACACCUACCGGAGAAGAUGCCACAAAA